GGGGCUGAACCAGACCUUGUCCAGGGCCACCAUCAGGAAGAGGAACUCCGCCAUGAUGAUGGGGAGGGUCAGGUUGAAGUCGAAGAGCGCCGCCUUCUCGAACUCCUCCGCCAGCGACGGUGGUGCGGCGGCCAGGGCGGCGACGGCGACGGCGGCGAAGGAUUUGAGGGAGGUGGAGGUAGAGAGAGAAGUGAGUUGCGGCUUUGGGAAUUUGGGGAUUUGGGGGAAUUUUGGGAAUUGGAGGUGUUUGGGUUUUGGGGCGGAGGAGGAGUGAGUUGGGAUUAGGGUUUUGGAGGAGGAGGCCAUGAUCAUGUUGGCCAUGGCUAUGGGACUGGUUGUGUCAAGUGGAGUAUUGCAAUGGGGUGUGUGAGAGAGAGGGAGAGGGGUUUGAUUUUGUGUGAA
rnacentral:lncRNA from 1 species